UACGUAGGGUGCAAGCGUUAAUCGGAAUUACUGGGCGUAAAGCGUGCGCAGGCGGUUAUGUAAGACAGUUGUGAAAUCCCCGGGCUUAACCUGGGAACCGCAUUUGUGACUGCAUAGCUGGAGUACGGCAGAGGGGAUGGAAUUCCGCGUGUAGGCAGUGAAAUGCGUAGAUAUGCGGAGGAACACCGAUGGCGAAGGCAGUCCCCUGGGCCUGUACUGACGCUCAUGCACGAAAGCGUGGGGAGCAAACAGG
rnacentral:rRNA from 1 species